rnacentral:rRNA from 1 species
CCUUCGGGGGGCAGCAGUGGGGAAUAUUGGACAAUGGGGGCAACCCUGAUCCAGCCAUGCCGCGUGUGUGAAGAAGGCCCUCGGGUUGUAAAGCACUUUCAGUGAGGAAGAACGCCUGGUGGUUAAUACCCAUCAGGAAAGACAUCACUCACAGAAGAAGCACCGGCUAACUCCGUGCCAGCAGCCGCGGUAAUACGGAGGGUGCGAGCGUUAAUCGGAAUUACUGGGCGUAAAGCGCGCGUAGGUGGCUUGAUAAGCCGGUUGUGAAAGCCCCGGGCUCAACCUGGGAACGGCAUCCGGAACUGUCAAGCUAGAGUGCAGGAGAGGAAGGUAGAAUUCCCGGUGUAGCGGUGAAAUGCGUAGAGAUCGGGAGGAAUACCAGUGGCGAAGGCGGCCUUCUGGACUGACACUGACACUGAGGUGCGAAAGCGUGGGUAGCAAACAGGAUUAGAUACCCUAGUAGUC